AUCAUUCUUUCCUUGGGGUAGCACUACUGUCCAAUGAACAGGUAGUGAGGGCAGCACUGCUAAUGCCUACACAACUCUGCCCACAUCAACUAGAAAUAAAAAUCAUAAAAAA
ensembl:snRNA